GUGUACAUCAAUGUCAAGAAGAGGAGAGCGUGGCUGAGAUUAUACGGCGAAACUUGAUCUGGAUAAUACCAGCGAAAGGAUCAUGCUCUCCUCCCCC
rnacentral:ncRNA from 11 species